GACGAACCGUGCGAACGUUGUUCGGAAUCACUGGGCUUAAAGGGUGCGUAGGCGGGUUGUCCAGUCUGGGGUGAAAUCCCACGGCUCAACCGUGGAACUGCCUCAGAUACUGACGACCUCGAGAGAGGUAGGGGCGAGCGGAACUGUGGGUGGAGCGGUGAAAUGCGUUGAUAUCCACAGGAACUCCGGUGGCGAAGGCGGCUCGCUGGACCUCUACUGACGCUGAGGCACGAAAGCUAGGGGAGCAAACGGG
rnacentral:rRNA from 1 species